rnacentral:misc_RNA from 1 species
GGUGACUGCUGCAACUGUACAGUUUAAGGAAAUGGGCGGAAGAAGUAGACCUGCUGAAUCUUUCAAGGCACCUGAGCAGGCAACAGAGAAGAAGAAAGGAUUGGUUGAUUGGGUGAACCUGAUAAAGCCAGGCAACGAGGAGAAAGAUCAUUGGGUACCUGAUGAAGCAGUCACAAAGUGCACAGCCUGUGGGACAGACUUUGGGGCUUUUGUACGAAGGCAUCACUGCAGAAAUUGUGGAGACAUUUUCUGUGAUAAAUGUACUCAAGGUAGAACAGCACUGACUGCUGAGGAGAAUGCUCCUCAAGUUCGAGUUUGUGACAGAUGCAUGGCGGAAGUGAC